rfam:Zootermopsis nevadensis contig20326, whole genome shotgun sequence.
GCCACGGUGGUCUAGCGGUUAGAACGCUAGCCUUAUAAUCCUGGGGUCUCGGGUUCGAUUCCCGGCGGUGCCC